rfam:Schistosoma mansoni strain Puerto Rico chromosome 1, complete genome
ACCUAGCUGACGAGUCCCAAAUAGAACGGAAUGUGCGUCCUGGAU